rnacentral:snRNA from 1 species
AUUGCUUCUCGGCCUUUUGGCUAAGAUCAAGUGUAGUAUCUGUUCUUAUCAGUUUAAUAUCUGUUAUGUCCUCUAUAUGAAGACGACAUAUUAAACAGAUUUUUUGUAUUAAGGGGUUGAAAGAGGAGCUUGCUCUCUUCACCCCACGCAUCGACCUAGCGCUGCAGUGCAGCUGCGAGUGGUGCACUCUCU